rnacentral:lncRNA from 1 species
CAAGACAUUGUGGGCUACAUGAUGCUAAAAAUCCAUCGAAAUCGUACAAGGAUGGGCCAUCUCGAGAUCAGUAUCGACUGAAAAGAAACCGUCACCAAUAUGCUGGAAGCCGAAAUGAAGAGGGACACACAGCUCAGAGGAUAGAUCAACUUCCUGUUUAUUUGCAGGUGUUGACAACUCUCCAUUUUUAUGCAGUGGGAUCAUUUUAAAAGAUGCAUGGUGAUGAGGCAGCAAUAUCGCAGUCAUCAAUGUGUCAGAAGCUAAAGCAAGAAGGAAGAGGCAAUACAUGAAGAUUCCUACAAGAGAAGAAGUUGAAGCAACUCGGAGACAGUUCUAUCUAACUGUUAGAUUUCCAGGAGUGAAAGGUGCAAUUGAUGGGACACAUGUCUACAUCAAGAGCCGGGGGGGGGGGGGGGGGGGGGAUUGGGCCAUAUGCUUCUUAUAUACCCCUUCCAACUUCAUGUGGAGAGGAAUGCCUAUUAACAAUGGCAAAAGCAUUAAGAACAUAGAAACACAGAGUUCAUUCAAAUUUAUGAAGAAUACUUUACUUCUUUAUUUGUUGAUAAAUUGAUUAUUAUAACCCUGUGAUUCCUGCAGCUUAGCUUCAGCAACCUCUCUUUAUUCAAAACGUCCAUUCGUAGUUUGUGCUCCUUCAAGCUCAUAUCGUGUCUUUCAAUCUCGUUUCAAGCUCUUUCAAUCUCAUAUCAUGUUCUUUCACUCUCAUCUUGUACUCUUUAUAAAGUCGAGACCAUGUUUCUUCCAUUGAACUUCAAUUCUAAUGGCAUGCAUGCACUUCUACCAGCUCAAACUCUUCUGACAGAUGAUUCUUUUUUCCUUGAGAUGGGUAAUUCAAAUUCCAUUUUGCAGAACAAAGGUUUGUGGUAUUGCUGCAGGGUUAAAAUUCAAUAUUGAAAUGCAUUUAAGUACAUAACAUAUAGUAACAGUACAGUUGUAAAACACAUACUAUAAAUCAUGUUGUCAAAGAUGUAUGUUGUUUAACGUACUGGUAACUCUCUACUUGAUAGGUUCAGCUUCUGACACCAAUGUACAUUGUGUUUUCUGAUUGUUCUCGGAACCAUAAAUUGAAUUUUUGAAAACAUUAAAGACUUAAUUAUACAAAUUUCUUUAAAAACAGACAAUGCAAUGCAUUCUUUUCAGAAGUAUACAAUAUUCAGUGCACAGUUCAUUGAAUUGCUUGAAUCUGGUAACAUACAUAUAUUGAAGCCCUUUUCAUACUUCAAAUGAUUCACCCUCCCAGUUCAGUUUUAUAAAUCCCUCUUCACCUCUAAAUACCUUACUACAUAUCUGUAGUAUAUUCAGAUUAUUUUGUGUGUAUCAGUGUAUUGUGCAUCCAAUUGAUCUUGUAAUUACAUGUACAUGUACUUGAUUUGGGGAUCAUGUUUAAUUUGCUACAGUAUUUAACAUCUAUUUCAACUACUUCUGAUAUGAGUCUGGCCAAAAAAUAUUCUGGCAGAAAGGGUCAAUGGAAAAGGGAAAAAAAGGCAUGGUAAUUUUAAUGAUACUAAAUUACCUUGAAGAGGAAUGCGAUUUUAAAGAAAUUCCACCAGUCUGGGAAUGUUUCCUUGAUACCUCAGACAAAUGAAUUUGUAGAAUUUGUCCUUGUUGUGAAAGAAAUAGAUGAACUUCUGUUCUUUUGAAGAUUUAUAAAUAUCAACAAUGUGUCACAUUCAUCUCAGUUGGGAGGGUUUUAUUAUUUUUUUUCAAGGAAAGUGAUGAAUACUCUUGAUAAUGUAAUUAUAUUAUGAUUUGGGAAGUAUUUUGAGAGGUCCACUAUGUGAGAUA